AGUGAACGCUGGCGGUAGGCCUAACACAUGCAAGUCGAACGGCAGCACAGUAAGAGCUUGCUCUUACGGGUGGCGAGUGGCGGACGGGUGAGGAAUACAUCGGAAUCUACUUUUUCGGGGGGGAUAACGUAGGGAAACUUACGCUAAUACCGCAUACGACCUACGGGUGAAAGCAGGGGAUCUUCGGACCUUGCGCGAUUGAAUGAGCCGAUGGCGGAUUAGCUAGUUGGCGGGGUAAAGGCCCACCAAGGCGACGAUCGGUAGCCGGCCUGAGAGGAUGACCGGGCACAUUGGUACUGCGGUACGGCCCAGACUCCUACGGGAGGCAGCAGUGGGGAAUAUUGCACAAUGGGCGGAAGCCUGAUGCAGCAACGCCGCGUUCGUGAUGACGGCCUUCGGGUUGUAAACCGCUUUCGCCUGUGACGAAGCGUGAGUGACGGUAAUGGGUAAAGAAGCACCGGCUAACUACGUG
rnacentral:rRNA from 1 species